rnacentral:rRNA from 1 species
ACCCAACAGCUAGCCCAGUCUUCUAAAUUCAACACGAUUAUAUAAAUAACCCCUAAUACACCACCCCAACUAAAAACAAACCAUUUUAUACCCUAGUAUAGGCGAUAAAAAAGGAAAUAUGGAGCAAUAGAAAAGUACCGUAAGGGAAUGCUGAAAGAGUAAAUGAAACAACCCAGUAAAGUUUAAAAAAGCAGAGCUUCCCCCUCGUACCUUUUGCAUCAUGCUUUAACAAGUAGCUAAUAAGCAAAAAGAUUUAUAGUUUAUUUCCCCGAAACUAGACGAGCUACUUCAAGACAGCCUAACAAAAGGGCAAACACAUCUCUGUGGCAAAAGAGUGUGAAGAUCUUCAAGUAGAGGUGACAAACCUACCGAGCCUAGUUAUAGCUGGUUGCCUGAAAACUGAAUAAAAGUUCAGCUCCUUUUAUUCUUAAUUUAUUAUCGUCUAAGACAUAAAUUAAAUUAGAGAAAAUUAGGAAGUUAGUCAAAAGGGGUACAGCCCUUUUGAAUAAGAAUACAACCUUUAAAGUAGGAUAAUGAUCAUAUUAAAUAAAGGCUAAUGUUUUAGUGGGCUUAGAAGCAGCCAUCUCAAAAGAAAGCGUUAUAGCUCAAACAUAUAUUUUCCUUUAAUCCCGAUAAAAUAAUCAUAUUCCCCUACCUCUAUCAGGCUAUUUCACCACGUGAAAGAAAUUAUGUUAAUAUGAGUAAUAAGAGACCCCAUCUCUCCAAGCACAAGUAUAAAUCGGAACGGAAUAACCCCCGAAAAUUAACGGCCCUAAUUAAAGAAGGUAUUGAGAUAAAAAAAGAUAACUAGAAAACAUCCCACUACUUACCGUUAACCCCACACUGGUGUUCAUUAAUGGAAAGACUAAAAGGAGAAGAAGGAACUCGGCAAAACUACUAAUAGCCCCGCCUGUUUACCAAAAACAUCGCCUCUUGAAUCACCUAACAUAAGAGGUCCCGCCUGCCCUGUGACUUAAGGUUUAACGGCCGCGGUAUUCUAACCGUGCAAAGGUAGCGCAAUCACUUGUUUUUUAAAUGAAGACCUGUAUGAAUGGCAUAACGAGGGCUAAACUGUCUCCUUCCCCCAGUCAAUGAAAUUGAUCCCCCCGUGCAGAAGCGGGGAUAAAUACAUAAGACGAGAAGACCCUAUGGAGCUUAAAACGAAAGAAUAGACCAUGUUAUAUUCCUUUAAUUAAAAAAUCAAACUAAAUGCUUCCUAUUCUAGUGUUUUCGGUUGGGGCGACCACGGAGCACAACAAAACCCCCGUGAGGAAAAAAUAAACAAUAUUUUAAAUUAAGAGUGACAACUCUAGAUAACAGAAAUUCUGACCCUAAUAGAUCCGGCCAAGCCGAUCAACGGACCGAGUUACCCUAGGGAUAACAGCGCAAUCCCCUUUUAGAGCCCACAUCGACAAGGGGGUUUACGACCUCGAUGUUGGAUCAGGACAUCCUAAUGGUGCAGCCGCUAUUAAGGGUUCGUUUGUUCAACGAUUAAAGUCCUACGUGAUCUGAGUUCAGACCGGAGCAAUCCAGGUCAGUUUCUAUCUAUGUUGUGCUCUUUUCUAGUACGAAAGGACCGAAAAGAAAGGGCCCAUACCAAUAGCAAGCCUUACUCCUACCUAAUGAAUACAACUAAAUUAGGUAAAUGAGCAUACCCUUCAAUCCUAAAUAAUGAUAU